rnacentral:rRNA from 1 species
GAUGAACGCUGGCGGCGUGCCUAAUACAUGCAAGUCGAGCGAACGGACGAGAAGCUUGCUCCUCUGAUGUUAGCGGCGGACGGGUGAGUAACACGUGGAUAACCUACCUAUAAGACUGGGAUAAUUUCGGGAAACCGGAGCUAAUACCGGAUAAUAUUUUGAACCGCAUGGUUCAAAAGUGAAAGACGGCCUUGCUGUCACCUAUAGAUGGAUCCGCGCUGCAUUAGCUAGUUGGUAAGGUAACGGCUUACCAAGGCAACGAUGCAUAGCCGACCUGAGAGGGUGAUCGGCCACACUGGAACUGAGACACGGUCCAGACUCCUACGGGAGGCAGCAGUAGGGAAUCUUCCGCAAUGGGCGAAAGCCUGACGGAGCAACACCGCGUGAGUGAUGAAGGUCUUCGGAUCGUAAAGCUCUGUUAUUAGGGAAGAACAUAUGUGUAAGUAGCUGUGCACAUCUUGACGGUACCUAAUCAGAAAGCCACGGCUAACUACGUG